rnacentral:rRNA from 1 species
UGCGGCGAUCAUACCAGCACUAAUGCACCGGAUCCCAUCAGAACUCCGAAGUUAAGCGUGCUUGGGCGAGAGUAGUACUAGGAUGGGUGACCCCCUGGGAAGUCCUCGUGUUGCAUCCC